AUUAUAGCUGAGUUAUAACAAUAGAGAGAUGUGUUCAUUGUGUUAUUGCUCCUGCUCAGGAAGAAGAGAAAUACAAUCUUGUGAUAGAUUCACCUACUAUGCUCUCCUACAGCAAUAAACACCUCUGCACCGACAUACAAGCCCUAAUUUAGCCGUAAAUCAUCUUAUUUUUAUUUGUAGGAAUAUCAUGCACAAGCAUGAUAUGGAAGAGCAAUAUUUAGUCUAAAAUAGUUGUUAUUUCAAAACGGUAAGAGCCAGAUCAGUGGUGGCAGGCAGAUUGCUGUCUGUGAUUCUGAAGUAGGUUAAAAGAGAUCAGGCUAUGACCGUACAGUAUAUUUAUCUCUUUAUACACACUCUUUAUACCUAAUUAUUCACAUAUAUAACUGUGAACAUUAAUUAAAACAACUGUUUCCCUUGUUUUCAAUGUGUCUCAGUCACAACAAAUCUAAAAUAAAGUAAGGAUUCCCCAAUCUCGUAUAAAAACUACAUAUCCCGUCAUGCAAUGGGUGAGCUGCUCGGCGCAAGCGUAUAUAAAGGUCACGGGACCCUCUCUUCCUUUACCAAGCUUCCGGGAGGAGAACAGCAAAGCUUCAUUCCUCGGUUAAUGUUGGCUUGAGGCUAACGUGGGAACCACGUGGCAGGGACUCCUCCAAAAACAUGUAGUUUCUCGUCAGGUUCCUCCUGAAGCAGCAGCAGCUCCACCUGACUGCUCAUGGCUCUCUGUGCAGGAUGCAGGAAUGGGAGCACGUGGAAGGGUGGGACAUGAAGAUUACAUCACCUGAAGGUGACCCUCAUGGCUGAGUCACACGUGACUGGAUGAGACCGUCUCACUGAAAGGAAUCUAUCUGGUGGCCUUGCCCAAUGGACUGUAAUGGCUCCCUGGUUGGAAGUGGCUUUUGCAGCCCAGCCUAAAGUCUUCAGUUAAAAGUGUCUGGGGACAGCGUUGCAGGAGGAGGCAACGGACAGACUUCGCUAUGAAGUUAUAUCUUUAUAACUCAUGUGGUCAGAGUUGAGAGUGUGUGUGCUAUCAUUGGAAUGAAAUAAAACAUCUGGCAACUA